AAUCGAGAUAAUAGCAGUGACUCAGCGAGGCGGUUUCUCUCUGACAACUCUCAUCUUCUCGCAAACCCUAUACCUAGUUCAACAAUAUAUAUAGCCCCCUUGUCAGAAUAAUCCUCUGCAAUCUCACCACUUGUUCAAUUACAAUGGCUGCCUCUGUCAAAAUUAAACCACCGUACUGUAAAGACAGAAAGUAUGUCCCACCACAUGAUCGGAUUCGAAGAAAUUCAAUCCGAUUUAGGCACCGAAACCACCACCAACGAUUGUCUUUGCAAGACAGGUCACACUUCUAGAAAACACUUAGCGUCCGGUACUGUGAAUCGAGUCAAUCUCGUGUUUAGAUGCGGUGGAGGAACAUCUCUCUCUGGAUUUUUAGGUGGCAUAAUCACCUACAUCAUUAGAGGGGCCGCUUAAUGUGCUUAUGAUUUAGUUACCUAUAACACAAUCAUAGGUGCAGCGGUGCAUGUUUUUUGACUCGAUUUUCAUGCUGCUUGACUCGAUUUUCAUGCUGCGAUGGAUUUGUGCAGCGGCCGGUUACCUACAACACUCUCACGAGGCUGAGUUUCGAUUCAACGGCUGAGCAUUUAUUUAGGAGAGGCUGCGAACCAAGUUUCGGCUGAGUUUCUAUUCAUGCUUAUCAGAUAUAAAGAAAUUCAGUCAUAAGAAGAAAUUCAAACAGACAUACUCAAUUAGAUUUCUAUUGCUAGACAGUUCACACUUCUAUGUAUGUUGUAAUUUCGUUGUUGUAAUUUUGUCUAUCUUAAUACAUUAAAAUUGUGUAUUGCUUGGCAGAUUUGUUUUUCAUCUUUGGUCAUUGUAAUAUAAAUUAUUAAUGAAAUAAACGAUGAAAUAUUUUGGAUCCCGUCCUGAUUUUGUCUUCCUGGGUUGAUAUCAAUAUAAUGAUGUUUAAUGUUGUAGUAUUUUCCUUAUUAGCUGGUUUUAAUUUAAUGGGUUCUGUCCCUUUUUGUCGUAUGCUUGUCAAUGUUAGUAUAUCUACAGAGCAAUUUUCCUCUUGUUCAUUUCUUGUUCCAGUAUUUUGAAAUUUCGAAACAAUUAAGCAGCGUGAAAUGCUAACAAGUUACAAUUCAACCAACAUAUAUGUAGUAGCAUUAGUAAUGUGUCAAUUGAAAACUAUUUUUGGCUUUUUAGUUACAGUUUUGAGUCCUUUCUGAAUUUGGUAUGUGAGAUCAUACUAUGAAAUUCAUGUUAUUGUUAAUGUUCAUUUUGGUUAGUAAAGAAUGUUGCUCAUGAGAACAAGCAUAAAAUGAAAAACGGUGCAAUGGACGGGCACCACUGGGCACAGAGGAACUUUUAAGCAACACGGUCCAAGUAGAGCAGAUGCUAUUCUAUUGAAUGAGUCUCCAUUAUGGUGUCUUUUCUUUCCCGGUAUUUGGUUUGGUGUCUUGUUUCUAUCAAGCACUAGAGGUGUCAUCAUGUUUUAUGCUCCGGAGAAAUGGUAUAAGGUGAUUAUGAGACAACUGACAGGGCAGGAACCAAUCUCUAGCAUGUUUCUAACAGUGCCUAAACUGAUUCUGGUUGACCGCGAAUCAAUUGCUUUGGGUAUUUGGGCGUCUCCAUAAUUAGGUCUGUACUAGUCCCUUGGAUGCAAUAGUGCGUGAUAAAUUGAUAAUCUUUUGACAACCGGCAAAUGUGAAUCUCCCUUGGUGAAAAUGAUGAAUUUGGUCUAUCUAUUGUUCAUCAACAAUACUUUUAAUUAGGAUCCAAAAGCAACCGGUGAUGUCCUCCAUGUCGCCUUUGCCAGGUUCAGUACCGCAUGGGGCCAGAAAGGAGGAGAUGUUUACAGUGAGCUCUAAUGAUCUGUUGAGACAUGAGAGGGCUUACACCAUCACUUGUGGUAGAAACUUUAAAUUUGCUCCUUAGCUAGUUUUUCUUUGUUUGCUUGUCAGUAUAAUAUUAUUACUAAAAAGAGUUAUUUCAUUUUUCUGAUUCCUCGUCCCUGGUUUUUGAAUCGUCUCUCUUAUUUAUAGAUUUUUCUAGUAGUAUACAAUAAUAGGAAUUUGUUGUUUUUUUGUUUUUUUGUUUUUUAAUAAUUAGCACAUGUAUAUCAUGUUUUUGACAAGAUUUGAAUUCUUGACUUCUCUUAAGUAUGAGAAAUGAGAGAGGUAUCAUAGACCAAGAUGUCAACAAUUGUUGGAAAUUUUUGACAAAUGGGAAUACGAGAAAUUUUUUCCCUUGUGAUGUUAAGCAAGUAUAUGAUGCACAGUUUUCAUGUUUAGUAGUUAAUUAUAUCCUGAGAGAAUUAGCUUAUAGGCAUCAUGUUUUAUGCUUUGGAGAAAUGGUAUAAGUUAAAAAUUGGCUAUACUCAACUUAUUUCGGUUUGUAAAUAUACUGGUAUAAGGUAAUCUGAGCCGCAGGCAUCUGCAGACUCAUACAGUCGGUGCUUCCAUGUUAAAUAUUUCUCUGUAGGUGAUUAUGAGACAACUGCAUUAUUUCAUUUCAACAACACAGGGCAGGAACCUAUCUCUAGCGUGUUUCUAACAGUACGCAAAGUGAUUCUAAUUGACUUAGGCAAUUAAUUGCUUUGGUUAUUUGGAUUAGUGUUUAUCAAUUCCAAUUUGUGUUUCCCUUGUGUACUUUCUAAAACUUAUUGAAAAUGUUAGAAUCUUGCCAUAUAGUAGUAUUACAAAAAGGUACGUGAAAUCUUAUUAAUAAAUUUAUACUUGGUUAAUUUAACAAUUUAUUUGUAGGAGCCUUUUUAAAGUAGUACAUAUAUAGAUAUUUUUUUCCUAAUACAAUGGCAUAGAGGAGAGAGGAAAAGAAAUACACGUCUAAUGUUUGUAAAAAUGCUCCAAAGGAAACAUUUGUGGAAAUGGAAACUAAUAAUCACAUGCCAAUUGAUGUUACCUACAGGGCACUUAUUUUGCAGCUGUUUUUAGGAUAUGAAGUAUAAUGAAGCAGGUGUGCGUGUACCCACAGAUGAUAUGUCUUAGUGGCUUCUUAGCACAUGCAUUACUACAUCCAUGUUGCUGGAUGUACUUGACAUCCUCUCCUCUUGCUUUGCGCAUCUCCAUAAUUAGGUCUGUACUAAUCCCUUGGAUGCAAUAGUGCGUGAUAAUCUUUUGACAACCGGCAAAUGUGCAGGCGAUCACCAUUGGGGCCGAAAGUUUUUGUUGUUCGGAAGUCCUUUUCUAGCCAUAUAUAAUUGGAAUGCAGUCUGCUGGAAUCCACGAAACUACUUAUGAUUCUAAUAUGAAAUAAGAAGUGCGACGUUGAUAUCAGAAAGGAUCUUCAUAUGCGCAACAUUGUCCUCAGGGUUGAAUCACCUAGGUUUCCUGGUAUUUAUGUUUGUAUGAGCAUAGAAAUCAGUACCCUUGCCCAAGGAGCAUGAAAGUUAAUGUAGUAGCUCCUCCGGGAAAGGAAGUAUAGUCUCUGGACUAGGAUAGAUUGUAGAUGCCCUCGACACGUUUAAACAGAUGUGAAUCUCCCAUGGUGAAAAUGAUGAAUUUGGUCUAUCAAAUUGUUCAUCAAAAAUACUUCUAAUUAGGAUCCCAAAGCAACCGGUGGUGUCCUGACUCCUGUGCCUUUGCCAGGUUUAGUACCGCAUGGGGCCAGAAAGGAGGAAUUGUUUACAGUGAGCUCUAAUGAUCUGUUGAGAGGGCUUACACCUUUACUUGUGGUAGCAACUUUAAAAUUGCUCCUCAGCUAGUUUUUCUGUGUUUGCUUGUCAGUAUAAUAUAAUUACUUAUGAGUUAUUUCAUUUUUCUGAUUCCUCGUC